GAUGAAGAACGCAGCGAAAUGCGAUAAGUAAUGUGAAUUGCAGAAUUCAGUGAAUCAUCGAAUCUUUGAACGCACAUUGCGCCCGCCAGUAUUCUGGCGGACAUGCCUGUUCGAGCGUCAUUUCAACCAUCAAGCCCCCGGCUUGUGUUGGGGACCUGCGGCUGCCGCAGGCCCUGAAAACCAGUGGCGGGCUCGCUAGUCACUCCGAGCGUAGUAAUACAUCUCGCUCAGGGCGUGCUGCGGGUUCCUGCCGUUAAAAAGCCUUAUUUACCCAAGGUUGACCUCGGAUCAGGUAGGAAGACCCGCUGAACUUAAGCAUAUCAAUAAGCGGAGGA
rnacentral:misc_RNA from 1 species